rnacentral:misc_RNA from 1 species
GCAAACUUGGUCAUUUAGAGGAAGUAAAAGUCGUAACAAGGUUUCCGUAGGUGAACCUGCGGAAGGAUCAUUACAAAUCCAUCCACGUCUCCUUGUGAGACCACGUUGAAAUGUGCUUGUGUUAUGUGGGAGGAGGAGAAGAGAGGGGGGGUGUUGUGUUGUGGUAGAGUAGUAGAGGGUGGUGGUGGCAGUGGUGGCGCGUGUGGGUUGUGUUGGUGAGCGAGAGAGCAAUCUCUCCUCCCCCCCUCCCCGCGCGCUCAUUCACUCUCAUUCAUUCAUUCACUCUCACUCACUCACUCACUUGCUCGCCACUCGCAUACGCGCGAACUAGUUGAUAAUUGUUGUGCAAGUGUAUUGUUUUAAACAUAUCAGUACAACUUAUAACAAUGGAUCUCUAGGCUCUUGCAUCGAUGAAGAACGCAGC